GUUCAAUCUAAGAGUCGGUUAUAGAACACGCUGGUUGAGAAAACACGAAAGUUAUGCGUCGGAAACUCGUGAAGCACAGGUGCUAAUUACGACUUUCCUACACCAGCCAGCAUCACCUGAACCCCCUCACCACAUUUAUUACUUCGAAAUACACUGUAACACCAGAAUAGGGUUCUUUUCAAAGGAUCUCGUUAAAAUGAUGAUAAAUGUUACCUUCUGGUAUCCGGUACCGUAGCCUUCUCAAGUAAUUCAUCUUUAGUGUUAUUUUCAUCAAAGCGUUAACAACCAUCAGAUGAUAAGGUGUAUAGAGGUCCAUAUUAAAACAAUUAAAAUCUAAAGAAAUUAACAAAGAUAUGCCAAGCCUCAUAAAAAUACAGGAGUACAUCAGUAGGGGAAGUAUGUUAGUGAAAUGACCUCGCAAACAGAAAGGGUAUUGCACUAACUCACAUUACCGUAAACAGUUAACAUGAAUUGCUCCAAGACGAGUACUGUAAGAUAUUACACAAAAAUAUAUUCCUAAGGAAAGGAAAUAUUUUUGAAAUGUUUUAUACCCAAAGGCAAAAACAAUUUCAUAAAUUUGAAUAGGUUUUAUUAUAUUCACUACAAGUCUGGGAAGUGAGAAAGGACGUAGAACAUGUUACGUCAAUAAUGCUAAAAUAGAUUUUUAGGCAAUAUGCAUAUCAAACUAAUUAUAAAAUUGUAUCCUAGAGUAUAAAAUGUAUUU